rnacentral:tRNA from 1 species
GUCCAAGUAAUUUAAUUAAAAUACUGGCCUUGUAAGCCAGCUACGAAGGUAAACCCCUUCCUAGGACC